AGGGCAAAGUUGAUCAACCUAAGUUUUAUAGCAUUCUUAGUGAGCUGUUGGAGCCGCAUUGUGAUGCUUACUUUCUUAAAUUCCCUUAUAAAAAUGUAUGCAUCCUCGAUUUUGAUAAAUUUGAGAAGCAUGUUUAUGAUCUGGGGUUUAAGUUCAAAAUUGACAUCAGUUUGUGGCAGUUGGAUACAUGAGGGUUGGGCUGACCCAACUAGGUAGCAAAGGUCUUUCAGUUUCCGAGGUUCAUGUUCGGGUUUACCCAUGGUGGGCUUAAGGUCUACUGGACUCGAUGCA
rnacentral:lncRNA from 1 species